CCCUUAGAUGUUCUGGGCUGCACCCGUGCUACACUGGCAGGUUCAGCGAGCUUCAUGCCCUGAUCUGAAAGGAAUGGGAAAUCUUUUCAAAACCUGCCGUGCUUGGGAUAGAUGUUUGCAAUUAUUCAUCUUCAACGAGGAUUGCCUUGUAAGCGCACGCCAUCAGCGUGCAUUGAAUACGACCCUGUAUUCUGUACACACCGCCCGUCGCUCCUACCGAUUGAAGUUUUCGGUGAGUUGACAGGAGGAUUUUUUUGAAACUGGUUCGCCAGUGGAUUUUAGAUCCAAAUGCCAACGAAUCGAUGGCUUUAGAGGAAGGAGAAGUCGUAACA
rnacentral:rRNA from 1 species